GGCGCUGCGCAGGUGGCCGCAGGGGCGGGGGGCUCGGCCCUGAGGCCAGCGUGCAGCCCGGAACGCGGAGGAGGGGGAUGCGCAACCACUGAAUUAAUUGCACACGUUAAGGGAGAACGCUGUGAUUGUGACUCAGACUGUUUUGAAAAAGAAACGUGCUCUCAAAUGGCUGAGUUGGAAAGAAAGGAAGUACUUCUUAGGGCCUGAAACUUGGCUUAUCCGGCAGGCUCAAGUUGAGGAAUUCCCAUCACGGGAAAAUGCACUCGGCUCGGUCCUGAAGUGUGACCACAGAAUCCAGGUUGGAGACAGGAUUCACCAGAGUCAAAGGAGAGCUUUUUUCCAAUUUCACGCCUGCUUUACAUUCAAGAGGGAAAUUUUGAGGCUUCCGGACCUGCAAUGGGAGCGUAAGUUACAGGCACAGCCUCUGCCUAAGACUGGCGGCAGUCCGGGGACCUCUUCCGUCUUGGUCACAGCCGCUCACCGGGAGGGAGGGCGCUGUCUUCUCUUCCAGCAGCAAGACGGUUCCCUGCUGUCUUGUCACAUUUAGGAGCAAACUCCUGGUCUGCAGAGUGGCAGGACCUAACCUCAGUGGCUGUUCCCUGCGGGCCCCU
rnacentral:lncRNA from 1 species